rnacentral:rRNA from 1 species
ACGGGAGCUUGCUCCCUUAGGUCAGCGGCGGACGGGUGAGUAACACGUGGGUAACCUGCCUGUAAGACUGGGAUAACUCCGGGAAACCGGGGCUAAUACCGGAUGCUUGAUUGAGCCGCAUGGUUCAAUUAUAAAAGGUGGCUUUCAGCUACCACUUACAGAUGGACCCGCGGCGCAUUAGCUAGUUGGUGAGGUAACGGCUCACCAAGGCGACGAUGCGUAGCCGACCUGAGAGGGUGAUCGGCCACACUGGGACUGAGACACGGCCCAGACUCCUACGGGAGGCAGCAGUAGGGAAUCUUCCGCAAUGGACGAAAGUCUGACGGAGCAACGCCGCGUGAGUGAUGAAGGUUUUCGGAUCGUAAAACUCUGUUGUUAGGGAAGAACAAGUACCGUUCGAAUAGGGCGGCACCUUGACGGUACCUAACCAGAAAGCCACGGCUAACUACGUGCCAGCAGCCGCGGUAAUACGUAGGUGGCAAGCGUUGUCCGGAAUUAUUGGGCGUAAAGCGCGCGCAGGCGGUUUCUUAAGUCUGAUGUGAAAGCCCCCGGCUCAACCGGGGAGGGUCAUUGGAAACUGGGGAACUUGAGUGCAGAAGAGGAGAGUGGAAUUCCACGUGUAGCGGUGAAAUGCGUAGAGAUGUGGAGGAACACCAGUGGCGAAGGCGACUCUCUGGUCUGUAACUGACGCUGAGGCGCGAAAGCGUGGGGAGCG